CUAGGAGAAAUGGUCUGCUGUGUACCUGGUUUGUUAGAGGAUAAUUGCUGUUAUUGUUGCUGUUGUUCUUGCUACCGUUAUGGGGUUGCCAUUAUUGCCCUCGUUGUGUCUGCUGUGUCCGUUCAUGUAUUAUGCUGUUCUGAUACCACUUCUUCUCUCCGAUUCUGUAUAAAUAGCCUCUGUAAAUAUGCACUUGUCAAUG
rnacentral:lncRNA from 1 species